AGCUAUUGAUAUAGCUAUUCAUGAAUGCGUCUGUCCUCCUGUAAGUUUCAGGCAUUUUGUAUUCCAGUUAUACUGAUUCCUGUAUCUUUUUCAUUUUUCCUUUUGUCAGGCUCCCCGCUAGUGCCUGGAGCCGUCCCUGCUUUAGACAAAGGUUCGCUGGUGCCUGGAGCCACCCCUGCUUUAGACAAAGGAAUGUGUAUUUGAUUUGUUGACCUGCCGGAUCUUCCCGCAAAGACAAAGAAGGUCCAUUUUUACAUAUUAGUGAAGUUUCACAGAAGAAAAACGAAGAGGAAUAUGUCUGCGAUCAAAACAGCCACCAAGCUGUAAAAAGGUGGGGUCCUUCAGGAAAAAAGCUAUCCCUACAGAAAUGAAAAUACUGUUGAGUCCAUGCUCCACUAGGACCCGUGGCAUCUACUGCAACAUCAAUAAUGGAAUCUGGAGUCAUCCAUCUCAGAAAUACCAGGAAAAGGAAGCUUAAUACAGCAAAAAGAGCAAAAAUAC